rnacentral:rRNA from 1 species
GACGAACGCUGGCGGCGUGCCUAACGCAUGCAAGUCGAGCGGGGAAUUACCCAUGAAGUUUUCGGAUGGAAUGAGUGAUUUCUAGCGGCGGACGGGUGAGUAACGCGUGAGCAACCUGCCUAUCACAGGGGAAUAACGCAUCGAAAGGUGUGCUAAUACCGCAUAGGCGCACGGUAUCGCAUGAUACAGUGUGAAAAGCCGAGACGGUAUGAGAUGGACCCGCGUCUGAUUAGGUAGUUGGUGAGGUAACGGCCCACCAAGGCGACGAUCAGUAGCCGACCUGAGAGGGUGACCGGCCACAUUGGGACUGAGACACGGCCCAA